UUCCUGAUGUUUAGUCGUAAUCUCCUUUCUUGUAGCUUGAAGCCAUUGGGUUGAGUCCUCCCCUCCAGAGUAGAAGAAAACAAGCUUGUUCCAUCUUCCAUGUGACAGCCCUUGAGAUAUUUGAAGAUGGCUAUCAUAUCUCCUCUCAGUCUCCUUUUUCCAGGCUAAACAUACCCAGCUCCUUCAACC